rnacentral:misc_RNA from 1 species
AACGCAUAUUGCGCUCUUUGGUACUCCAAAGAGCAUAUCUGUUCGAGCGUUAAUUAUAAAAUGGAAAGUAAUUAUAACUUAUUUGAGUACUUGUCUUAAUUAGACUUGCUUUAAAAUAAUCAGCAUAAUUGUAUUAGCUUUGAAGCAUAGUAAAUCGUUGUUAUAAAAGUAAUAUUAAUUAAUUGCUGCUGUUUACUAUAAAAGUAUGACCUCGGAUCAGAUAGGGAUACCCGCUGAACUUAA